GAUGAACGCUGGCGGCGUGCCUAAUACAUGCAAGUCGAGCGAACGGACGAGAAGCUUGCUUCUCUGAUGUUAGCGGCGGACGGGUGAGUCACACGUGGAUAACCUCCCUAUCAGACUGGGAUAACUUCGGGAAACCGGCGCUUAUACCGGAUAAUAUUUUGCACCGCAUGGUUCAAAAGUGAAAGACGGUCUUGCUGUCACUUAUAGAUGGAUCCGCGCUGCAUUAGCUGGUUGGUACGGUAAAGGCUUACCAAGGCAACGAUGCCUCGCCGACCUGAGAGGCGGAUCGCCCACACUGGAGCGUGGACACGGUCCUGGCGCCUACGGGAGGCAGCAGUAGGGAAUCGUACGCAAUGGGCGAAAGCCUGACGGAGCAACGCCGCGUGAGUGAUGAAGGUCUUCGGAUCGGAAAGCUCUGUUAUGAGGGAAGAACAUAUGUGUAAGUAACUGUGCACAUCGUGACGGUACCUAAUCAGAAAGCCACGGCUAACUACGUG
rnacentral:rRNA from 1 species